rnacentral:rRNA from 1 species
GGAAUAUUGCGCAAUGGAGGAAACUCUGACGCAGUGACGCCGCGUAUAGGAAGAAGGUUUUCGGAUUGUAAACUAUUGUCGUUAGGGAAGAUAAAAGACUGUACCUAAGGAGGAAGCCCCGGCUAACUACGUGCCAGCAGCCGCGGUAAUACGUAGGGGGCAAGCGUUAUCCGGAUUUACUGGGUGUAAAGGGGGCGCAGACGGCGAUGCAAGCCAGGAGUGAAAGCCCGGGGCACAACCCCGGGACUGCUCUUGGAACUGCGUGGCUGGAGUGCAGGAGGGGCAGGCGGAAUUCCUGGUGUAGCGGUGAAAUGCGUAGAUAUCAGGAGGAACACCGGUGGCGAAGGCGGCUUACUGGACUGUAACUGACGUUGAGGCUCGAAAGCGUGGGGAGCA